ensembl:lncRNA
GCCACCUGCAUGCCACUCCUCCAUGUAUUGCUACGGAUGUGUGCCCUUCCUUGGAUAAACAGGUAAUCUGACAUGGAAUGUGUGGAAGUAUACACCACGUGCGGAAUUCCGUGUGAGGACAGAGAUCUUGAGAGGCCAAGGAGUUAACUGUUGAGCAUCUCAAAUUCUCCUGUCUGAGUUCCACUGACCCUCAUCUCCAUCCGUUGACAGAGAUAUCCACUGCACCUUAAACCUCAAUACGGUUGAUGAGCUGGACCCAUAAUGGACAUGAACACUGAGCUCACUUGGAUCAGUCCUCCACAUCUUAAUGUGUUUCACUGUAAUUUGCUAAAAACCUGAACCUUCUUUUUUGAUUCCAAGUGAUCAAGGGCGGAAAAGCAAAAGUUGGGACUUAGGAACAUCAAAAUGAGAGACUAAGGAAUUAAUAUUCUAAAGUAUCCAAUAUUUUCUCUAAGUCAGUUGUUUUCAGACUUUAGUGUUGCGUUAUCAGUCACCUGGAGAACUUGUUAAAAAAUGCAGAUCCCAAACCAUCCCCUAGACAUUCUGAUUUAAUCGGUCUUGACUAAGACUCAAGAAUCUUCACUUUUAACAAGCACCUUAUUUUGAUGCUGUUUGACAGUAAACUACACUUUCAGAAUAUUCAUCUUAGGUCCUAAGUCAGAGGGCAGGUUUUUAAAAAUCUUACACAAUUCCCAAUAUGGAACUUGGGCAUGGUCUUGAAAGCAGCCUGCUUUCCCACUGCAUCUGUGCUUAUGGAAAACUGGAACAGUGUUUUGUAAUUGUGCUUUAUACUCUGAGGUUUCUUAUAUAAACAGCCCAUAUAACUACACACAGGAGCACUAUGGGCUGCCAAUGUGCUUCUGCAGAGUUGUUUUUAACUUCAAUCAUCUUUUCUCCACUGGUUCACAUUACAAGUUCCAAGAUGUUUUAUUUUCCUUUCUGAUUGAUUUGAUAUUGACCCAAAUCCUUUACUUCUAAAUAUACAUUCUUCUCUAAGAUGCCUGACAAAUUGUAAAUGAUAUAUGAGCUCCUUGAGGCUAGAGACUGGGUCUAAUUAUGCAGAAGGGGAAUUUUCAACAUUUAUGAGACUCCUACGGUGGUAAAUCUUUCUGUAAACUAAAAGAUCACAUCUUAAUUGAUCUAUUUCUUAAGUUUAGAUUUUUGUGGAUUUUUCUUUAAUUGGGACAUCUUUUCCUUUGUGAGUUAGUAUGGUGUAGUAGGAAGAGUUCCAGAAUGAAAUGCAAAAAGAUCUAGGCUAGUGCCAGUCCUGUCAUUUUCUGACUCUGUGCACGACUUUGGAAAGAUCAUUUAAUCUGUUACCUUGUUUGUAAAUUGGGGAUAAUAGUAGGAGAGACUAUGAUAUUUUAGAAAGAAAAGUGGGCAAAGCAAAAUACAGCCAUGAAAACCCAGCAUGUAGGCCAACUGGAAGGUAAUCUACAAAAUGAAAAUCAUUGCUGAUUUUUAGUAGUAAUUUAAAAUUUAUUUCAAUGUUUUAUUGCUUUGUGUUGUUAUCGUCUAAUAUAAAUAUGAGAAAGAAAUAAUAAGUUCUGGAUAAAAGGCAGAACUUUGUUCUCAACCAGCCUGAACCACUUAUUUGUUAACCAAUUGCAGUCAAAAGAGAAGAAAUGUGAUAUUUUAGUUAAUUUUAUCUUGAGGAAAGGUGCAGCUUCUGUUCUGCUGUUUAAAAGGCUAGUAAUGGCUUAUAGGUCUUCAAAUGUUAAUAACGAUUCUGUGACUCAUUUACCUGCUUUCCAUCUUAUUGGCUUAUUAUGAGAUUCAAAUUAGAUAAGGUAUAUGAAACUGCUUCGAAAAUGGUAAGAAGUUAUACAAAGUCCUAAGAUAAUGUUUAUAAAGUCCUUCCAAACCUCCGUCUCUCCCUUACCCCUACAAAAGUUUGCUUUUGGAGUGAUUGAAAUUUUAAUAAAAUUGAACUAUUUUAUCCUAAACCUGGCUGUAAAGUUUUAAUUCCUAGGGUUCUAAUUAUUUACCAUUCUUUUUGUAGCAACUAGACGGACAGGAGAUUGUCUGUUGGGCCCGUCUUCUUUCAGCUGUUCUCAUCUAGGAAUGCAGGUGCAAAAAAAGUGGAAAGUCUGG